rnacentral:rRNA from 1 species
AUACGGAGGGUGCAAGCGUUGUUCGGAUUUAUUGGGCGUAAAGCGAGUGUAGGCGGCUUAGCAAGUCGGAUGUGAAAUCCCAGGGCCCAACCCUGGAACUGCAUCCGAUACUGUUAGGCUAGAAUUCCGGAGAGGGUGGCGGAAUUCCCGGUGUAGGGGUGAAAUCCGUAGAUAUCUGGAGGAACACCAGUGGCGAAGGCGGCCACCUGGACGGUAAUUGACGCUCAGACUCGAAAGCGUGGGUAGCAAACAGGAUUAGAAACCCCGGUAGUCC